rnacentral:lncRNA from 1 species
AACUCCUAAUAGUAGACGUACUUAUACAAGAAUCAUAAAAGAAUUUCCUUAAAAAUAAAUCCAGAUUUCAGAACAGAAGACCACAGCUAUCCCCCCUUUACUAUGUGAAUUCUUCUUAAAAAUGAACGAGAUCAGGAAAUGUUGUUUGCAUAUUCAUUAAAGUAGGUGCAGAAACGAAAUUGCAACAUUAUAAGCAUUUCAAUAGCGUAAAUGUGUAUAGUAGUCAGUGAAUUCCCCCAAGUUCAUGUAUUUCUCUGGCAACAUCUCCAUAGACUAAUGCAUACUGAUAAUAUUCCAGCACUUCUGAGGAGCUAAGCAAGGGAUAAUGAUAACGAGGAAACCUUGAGAACUAGGGUGGAUUCAUGAAACGUCAAGUUCUAGACGAAUUAAUUCUUUUCAAGGUACAUUUAGUUUCAAAUGGAAGCAUUGACACAAAAAAAGUAAAGUUAACCGAUAUUAUGACAUAGCUGAAGAAGGGAGAGUCGGAAUGGAGUUACCUAACAAUGUUACUGUGCUGCAUUUCCUUCAGGAGAGAUAUCUCUCGGAUGGCGGUGCUCGGGACCCCCUCAUCCUCUUGCUCCAACCGGAUCUUCUUCAGAGCUAUUGUCUCGUUGGUG